rnacentral:rRNA from 1 species
UAAGCAUAUCAAUAAGCGGAGGAAAAGAAACCAACAGGGAUUGCCCUAGUAACGGCGAGUGAAGCGGCAACAGCUCAAAUUUGAAAUCUGGCCCUCGGGUCCGAGUUGUAAUUUGUAGAGGAUGCUUUUGGCGCGGUGCCUUCCGAGUUCCCUGGAACGGGACGCCAUAGAGGGUGAGAGCCCCGUCUGGUUGGACACCAAGCCUCUGUAAAGCUCCUUCGACGAGUCGAGUAGUUUGGGAAUGCUGCUCUAAAUGGGAGGUAUAUGUCUUCUAAAGCUAAAUACCGGCCAGAGACCGAUAGCGCACAAGUAGAGUGAUCGAAAGAUGAAAAGCACUUUGAAAAGAGAGUUAAAUAGCACGUGAAAUUGUUGAAAGGGAAGCGUUUAUGACCAGACUUGGGCUUGGUUGAUCAUCCCGCGUUCUCGCGGGUGCACUCUUCCGGCUCAGGCCAGCAUCAGUUUGCCGCGGGGGAUAAAGGCGUCGGGAAUGUGGCUCCCUCGGGAGUGUUAUAGCCCUUCGUGCAAUACCCUGCGGUGGACUGAGGACCGCGCUUCGGCAAGGAUGCUGGCGUAAUGGUCAUCAACGACCCGUCUUGAAACACGGACCAAGGAGUCGUCUUCGUAUGCGAGUGUUCGGGUGUCAAACCCCUACGCGUAAUGAAAGUGAACGCAGGUGAGAGCUUCGGCGCAUCAUCGACCGAUCCUGAUGUUCUCGGAUGGAUUUGAGUAAGAGCAUACGGGGCCGGACCCGAAAGAAGGUGAACUAUGCCUGUAUAGGGUGAAGCCAGAGGAAACUCUGGUGGAGGCUCGCAGCGGUUCUGACGUGCAAAUCGAUCGUCAAAUAUGGGCAUGGGGGCGAAAGACUAAUCGAACCUUCUAGUAGCUGGUUUCCGCCGAA